rnacentral:rRNA from 1 species
UACAGGGGGUGCAAACGUUGCUCGGAAUUAUUGGGCGUAAAGCGCGCGUAGGCGGCUACCUAAGUCGGAUGUGAAAGCCCCUGGCUUAACUGGGGAAGUGCACCCGAAACUGAGUAGCUAGAGUGCGAAAGAGGGUCGCGGAAUUCCCGGUGUAGAGGUGAAAUUCGUAGAUAUCGGGAGGAACACCGGUGGCGAAGGCGGCCUUCUGGACAGUGACUGACGCUGAGGCGGCGAAAGCGUGGGGAGCGAACAGG